rnacentral:ncRNA from 1 species
AUAGAUAAAUUUUAUAUAGUUUAUAAAAAUUUAUUUUAAAAUUUAUUUUACAUAUAAAUUUUAGUGUUUAAUAUUUUUUAUUUUAAUAAUAGUAAAUAUUAUUAUUUAUAGUAAUUAAUAUUAAAAAUUUAAGAAAUUAAGAUUUAGUAAUAUAAAAAUUAUUAACAAAUUUUGUGCCAGCAGUUGCGGUUAUACAAAAAUUAAAUUAAAUUUUAUUAGUUAUUUAAUAAUUAAAUUUUUAAUUAAUUUUGAAUUAAAAUUAUUAGGUGAAAUUUUAAUUUUAUAUUAAUUUAUUUAUUUAUAUUUAUGAUUUAAUAAAUUUUAUUAUUAAACUAGGAUUAGAUACCCUAUUAUUUAAAAUUUAAAUUAAAAAUACUAAAAUAGUAUAUAAUUAUUUAUUGAAACUUAAAUAUUUUGGCGGUAUUUUAGUUUAUUUAGAGGAAUCUGUUUAUUAAUUGAUAAUCCACGAAUAAAUUUACUUAAUUUAAGAUUUUGUAUAUCGUUGUUAAAAAAAUAUUUUUUAAUAAUUAUAAUAUUUUAAAAUUUUUAAUAAAAAUUAAAUCAAAUCAAGAUGCAGAUUAUAAUUAAGAAUAUAAUGGAUUACAAUAAAUUUAUUUAAAUGAAUUUUAUUUUGUAAUAUUUAAAUGAAAGUGGAUUUAAAUGUAAUUUUAUUUAGUUUGUUAAAAUGAUUAAAAUUUAAAAUAUGUACAUAUUGCCCGUCGCUUUCAUAUAUAAAUUGGAAUAAGUCGUAACAAAGUAGAGGUACUGGAAAGUGUUUCUAGAAAGAA